UACAGAGGGGGCAAGCGUUGUUCGGAAUUACUGGGCGUAAAGGGCGCGUAGGCGGCCUCUUAAGUCGAACGUGAAAUCCCCGGGCUCAACCCGGGAACUGCGUCCGAUACUGGGAGGCUUGAAUCCGGGAGAGGGAUGUGGAAUUCCAGGUGUAGCGGUGAAAUGCGUAGAUAUCUGGAGGAACACCGGUGGCGAAGGCGGCGUUCUGGACUGCAACUGACACUGAGGAACGAAAGCCAGGGGAGCAAACGGG
rnacentral:rRNA from 1 species